UCGUGGCUUUGCAGGCUCUGGUUGAAAAAAAGUAGCGCGUUUGGGUAAUGGCUGGUUACAGUACUGUGAGACUCAGGCUCGUGCCUGCGUCGACAGAAUGCUUUGUUUUCUUUCGUCUGUUUACCUAAACGCAGAUUCCCGGUCGGAAUAUUAUCGCUUUUUUACGAGAAAAAUGGCAUAAAAAUUGAUUUUAAACAGCGGUUGACAUGCUUCGAAGUACGGUAAUGGAAUAUUUAGAAAUCUUUUGUCACGAAUUGCGCCAUGCUCGUGACCCUUACUUACACUUCGGAUAGUGUCUUGAACGCACGAACAAAACGCUGCUAUUUGGAUAUAACGAUGGAUUAUUUUGGACCAAACCAACAUUUGUUAUUGAAGUAGCAGUCCUGGGAGUGCAUUCUGACGAAGACAACAAAGAGAUGGUGUCGCAACUUGAUCUCAUCUAUACAGAGGAGGAGAGGAGGAGAGGAGAUCAGAGGAGGAGAGGAGAUCAGAGGAGGAGAGGAGAUCAGAGGAGGAGAGGAGGAGAGGAG
rnacentral:lncRNA from 1 species